rnacentral:other from 1 species
GGGUACCUGGCGUAUUCGCCAGGCAGACAGUCCUCGAGCCGAUAAUUUGUAACCGGAGGUUUCUCGUUACUGUUGGUGUGCAUGUCCGGCCCCGGCCGGAAAGCCUGAUACAGUGCAGGGACCGCCACCUUGAACCGUCGGGUUCAGGGCAGCGCUGUCAGCGGUACGCCAGGAAUCCA